UUAGAUACCCCGGUAGUCCACGCCGUAAACGAUGUCUACUAGCCGUUGGAGGACUUGAUCCUUUAGUGGCGCAGCUAACGCGAUAAGUAGACCGCCUGGGGAGUACGGUCGCAAGAUUAAAACUCAAAUGAAUUGACGGGGGCCCGCACAAGCGGUGGAGCAUGUGGUUUAAUUCGAAGCAACGCGAAGAACCUUACCUACUCUUGACAUCCAGUGAACUUUUGAGAGAUCAAUUGGUGCCUUCGGGAACACUGAGACAGGUGCUGCAUGGCUGUCGUCAGCUCGUGUUGUGAAAUGUUGGGUUAAGUCCCGUAACGAGCGCAACCCUUGUCCUUAGUUACCAUCAUUAAGUUGGGGACUCUAAGGAGACUGCCGGUGACAAACCGGAGGAAGGCGGGGACGACGUCAAGUCAUCAUGGCCCUUACGAGUAGGGCUACACACGUGCUACAAUGGCAUGUACAAAGGGUUGCCAAGCCGCGAGGUGGAGCUAAUCCCAUAAAGCAUGUCGUAGUCCGGAUUGGAGUCUGCAACUCGACUCCAUGAAGUCGGAAUCGCUAGUAAUCGUGAAUCAGAA
rnacentral:rRNA from 1 species